AGAGUUUGAUUCUGGCUCAGGAUGAACGCUAGCUAUAGGCUUAACACAUGCAAGUCGAGGGGAAACGGCAUUAUGUGCUUGCACAUUUUGGACGUCGACCGGCGCACGGGUGAGUAUCGCGUAUCCAACCUUCCCUCCACUCGGGGAUACCCCGUUGAAAGACGGCCUAAUACCCGAUGUUGUCCACAUAUGGCAUCUGACGUGGACCAAAGGUUCAUCGGUGGAGGAUGGGGAUGCGUCUGAUUAGCUUGUUGGUGCGGGUAACGGCCCACCAAGGCUACGAUCAGUAGGGGUUCUGAGAGGAAGGUCCCCCACAUUGGAACUGAGACACGGUCCAAACUCCUACGGGAGGCAGCAGUGAGGAAUAUUGGUCAAUGGACGUAAGUCUGAACCAGCCAAGUAGCGUGCAGGAUUGACGGCCCUAUGGGUUGUAAACUGCUUUUGUUGGGGAGUAAAGUGAGGCACGCGUGCCUUUUUGCAUUUACCCUUCGAAUAAGGACCGGCUAAUUCCGUGCCAGCAGCCGCGGUAAUACGGAAGGUCCAGGCGUUAUCCGGAUUUAUUGGGUUUAAGGGGAGUGUAGGCGGUCUGUUAAGCGUGUUGUGAAAUUUAGGUGCUCAACAUUUAACUUGCAGCGCGAACUGGCGGACUUGAGUGCACGCAACGUAUGCGGAAUUCAUGGUGUAGCGGUGAAAUGCUUAGAUAUCAUGACGAACUCCGAUUGCGAAAGCAGCGUACGGGAGUGUUACUGACGCUUAAGCUCGAAGGUGCGGGUAUCGAACAGGAUUAGAUACCUGGUAGUCCGCACGGUAAACGAUGGAUGCCCGCUGUUAGCGCCUGGCGUUAGCGGCUAAGCGAAAGCAUUAAGCAUCCCACCUGGGGAGUACGCCGGCAACGGUGAAACUCAAAGGAAUUGACGGGGGCCCGCACAAGCGGAGGAACAUGUGGUUUAAUUCGAUGAUACGCGAGGAACCUUACCCGGGCUUGAAUUGCAGACGCAGGAUACAGAGAUGUUGACUCCCUUCGGGGCGUCUGUGAAGGUGCUGCAUGGUUGUCGUCAGCUCGUGCCGUGAGGUGUCGGCUUAAGUGCCAUAACGAGCGCAACCCUUAUUACUAGUUGCCAGCAUUGAGUUGGGCACUCUAGUGAGACUGCCGGUGACAAACCGGAGGAAGGUGGGGAUGACGUCAAAUCAUCAUGCCCCUUAUGACUUGGGCUACACACGUGCUACAAUGGAUGGUACAACGAGCAGCGAACCCGCGAGGGUAAGCGAAUCUCUUAAAGCCAUUCUCAGUUCGGAUUGUAGGCUGCAACUCGCCUACAUGAAGCCGGAAUCGCUAGUAAUCGCGGAUCAGCACGCCGCGGUGAAUACGUUCCCGGGUCUUGUACACACCGCCCGUCACACCACGAGAGUUUGUAACACCCAAAGUCGGUGAGGUAACCAUUUGGAGCCAGCCGCCUAAGGUGGGAUAGAUGAUGGGGGUGAAGUCGUAACAAGGUAGCCGUAUCGGAAGGUGCGGUUGGAACACCUCCUUC
rnacentral:rRNA from 1 species